rnacentral:rRNA from 1 species
AACGAACGCUGGCGGCAUGCCUAACACAUGCAAGUCGAACGAGACCUUCGGGUCUAGUGGCGCACGGGUGCGUAACGCGUGGGAACCUGCCCUUAGGUUCGGAAUAACUCCCCGAAAGGGGUGCUAAUACCGGAUAAUGUCUUCGGACCAAAGAUUUAUCGCCUUUGGAUGGGCCCGCGUUGGAUUAGCUAGUUGGUAGGGUAAAAGCCUACCAAGGCGACGAUCCAUAGCUGGUCUGAGAGGAUGAUCAGCCACACUGGGACUGAGACACGGCCCAGACUCCUACGGGAGGCAGCAGUGGGGAAUAUUGGACAAUGGGCGAAAGCCUGAUCCAGCAAUGCCGCGUGAGUGAUGAAGGCCUGAGGGUUGUAAAGCUCUUUUACCCGGGAUGAUAAUGACAGUACCGGGAGAAUAAGCUCCGGCUAACUCCGUG